rnacentral:rRNA from 1 species
UACGGGGGGGGGCAAGCGUUGUUCGGAAUUACUGGGCGUAACGGGUUUGUAGGUGGCUCGCUAAGUCAGACGUGAAAUCCCUCAGCUUAACUGGGGAACUGCGUCUGAGACUGGCAAGCUUGAGUGCAGGAGAGGAACGCGGAAUUCCAGGUGUAGCGGUGAAAUGCGUAGAUAUCUGGAGGAACACCGGUGGCGAAGGCGGCGCGCUGGACCACUACUGACGCUGAGGAACGAAAGCUAGGGGAGCAAACAGG